rnacentral:lncRNA from 1 species
UCUAAGGAACCUUUCAGUGACAACAAGACCACCUUUUGAAUCCCCAACAAGGAAGAAAACAUUUAGCCCUUUCUAUGGAGGAGAAAUUAAUUCAGUACUGUGUUUCUACUUUAGACAGUUUUUUUUUUUUUUUUACUAUAACCAAUAUUAACAUCUUCAGAAAAGGGCCAAACAGGGAAUGACCAUCCAGAAGGUAAUUUUUAAAGUUCUGAGGGCCUCCCUUUCUGCUUCAGGAGAAAGUGAUUAGCAUUAUAGAUGAUCUAUGGGGAAUAUCCCUGACCAUGGUAGGCAUCACCAAUCAAUUGCAGCACGCAUGUAGCAGUAGAAUUCAACAUAGUGUCCCAUGCAGACAUUACUAAUUGAUUCUGUGCUCAUGAUGGAACCUUUUGGCUGGCCUGGUGUGUUAGGAGACAGGAUCACAGAAUAACUAUUAGAAGUCACUGUAUGUAGGAGCAUGCUUAUCUCUGGGCACCAUUACCUUCUACUCCCUUCUGUCCAUAUUUGAGGAAGUUCUUUAAGUGAGCUCUUUGGAGGCAGUGCAGGGAGACCAAGGCAUACAUUCCAAACAGGUCCUGACACUCUGUUCCGCCAUGGUUGGCUCUUGGUUCUAGAGGAGCUGAGAUCUGGGAUGAAGAUGCUGAUACCUGGCCAUUUUUUCUCAUCUCAAAGAAUCUGGAGAAAGGAUGCUGUGUUCACCAGAGGGGCUUUUCCUCAGUGUCAGGAAACGGCUCUCGGAGGCCCCUCAGAUGGCCCUAGGAGCAGGGUCUUCCUCUAUCAGAAUGGGUGGAAUAUCUUCAUCCCUCAACCUCUGAAGUGACCUGUCAGCUAAGAGCAUGGCUCCCAGGGGCCUGUCCUCAGCCACCUCUAUUCCUGGGCUAGCCUCAUCCUAAGAUGCCACAUGGACACUGGCUGAGUAUUGAGCAGCUGGCCUGGCUCCUGACCUGAACUGACAUCUCAGACUCUCUGCAAGAGUCUGCUGGAAAUCCAAGGUCUUGUUCAACAACUGCCAGCCAGAUGGGUGUGGGCAAGGGUGUGCCAAGACAGGGUGCCUUAUACUUUGUUCUAGUGCAUUCCAAGGUGUUUCAGGGCUUCAGCACCUGGAAUCCCAUAUGUCAAAGCCAGUAUUAAAUCAAGUUUAUGCAUUCCUC